GGGGAUGCAUGACUAUAAUUAUCAAAUUUGUUAAUGUUUUGAUUAUUUUUCUUUCUCUUUUUCAUGUUGCAAAGAAUGACGACAAUAAAUUACUUUUAUCUUUUAUUGAAGAAGGAUUCUGAUUGUCCAUACAAUAUGUGUCCGUCUCCUUUAAAAGAAAUGUGUUAUUUCAUCAAGUGUGUAUGUGGUGUGUACGGGCCUAUAAGAGAAAGAAGGUUGUACCAAAGCCAUAAUCCAAUGAUCCAAUGAAUUGGAAGUAAGCUUGAAACUUGGAAGGGAAUGCGUCCUUCACCGUGAAGGAUAUCCAAAUUGUGAUGUCAGCUGAACAUGUAACAGAGUGCCCCUUCAAGCAUUGUGCUUUGAAUUUUGAUUCCUUUUAUGUGGCAAAUCAUGGUUCUUGAUUUUAGUCUAAUGCACAAUUCAUUGUUAGUCCUUUGGCCACGAUAUUGUUCACGGUUUGUAUGUUAAUUUCACACUAAUUGAAGCCAAUGUAUGUAGAACCGCCAGAGAUGGCAUGAUAAUUGUUGUAACGUCCACUUUCGUUUAAUCGUUUAUUUAAUUGAGUUUAGGUGAUUAUAUUAUAAUUA